rnacentral:lncRNA from 1 species
AAUAUAUAUUCUCCUGGCAAACUUGGUUCUGUUUUGCAAGAGAGUUAUUGCCGAUAAAAGUUGCUAUCUUUUACAUUUACUAGGACAAGCCUGCUUUUGCUCUUAAUCCUACUAGAAGAAUAAUGUAUUUGUAUAUAGUUGAAAUCGGGCUUGUCCUUUGUAUGACUAAUCAAGAUCGAAAUGCGAUAGGUGAAGGUUCGACCUCGUGAUACCGAACCACGGUGCAAAGAUAGGCUAUUGAGCUCGUGACCCAGAGACCGAUCAAGAUCGAGAUUGUCCAAGAUCGAGGCCGAGUGAUAAUAGGUGAAUUUAACUAUAAUGAGGCCCUAAAAGACCACUUUCUUGUAUAGUUUUGAUGGUAAAAGUGGCAACAAAAUGCUCUGAUUGGCGUUUUUCAUGCUUUGCAGGUUAUAUAUGACAAGAGAAGGCUAUGAAGUACUUUUGGGAUCAAAUAUGGAGAAAAAGAGGCUAAUCGUAAAAUUCCGCCAAGUGAACCACGCGAACAGCUCAAACCAGGCCUAUAAAGGGACUGCCGCGGUUCCGCCGCGACUGUGGUAGAAGAUGGUCAUCAAUCGUAAAAUAUCCGCCAAGUGAACCACGCGAAGGCAAGCCAAGCCAGGCCUGGAGAUGAACUGCCGCAAUCCCAGCGUAACCACGACAGAACCGCAGUAGAGGGCAGUUGCGAACAACUGAAGAAUCGGGGAGGGUGUUUGACCACGGUUCUGGUGUAACUGCGGCAGAGGCAGAAAACUUCAGAGACUUAAGUGCAAAAUACGAGAUUUUUAACCCAAAACCCUAUUUUAAACACUAGACUUCGCCCAGAUGAGGAAUGUAUUGUUUUAGAGAUUACUUUGGUAGGAAAGACAAGUGUGAGAGAUCACCCAAAAUAUCAUAUCUUCGUCUUAUUUAUUUUUCUUGCAAUUAUGAUUAUGAAUAUUGUUUUAGUUUAUUUUUUCAUAGUUAUGAGUAGCUAAAUCUUUUGUCUAGGGUUUUUUAUGGAACCUAUUGAGGGAUGAACUUCUUGUUUAUGUGAAUACAAUUUGCCAGCUUUAAUCUCUAUUUGU